rnacentral:misc_RNA from 1 species
GCUGGAUGUGUGGGCUCCGAUGGGGCCGAAGGGGGCGGUUCGCGACGAGGCGGGGCGGGUGCUUACUACGUAUCUCAAGGGCCGGCCGGCGUUUGAGGCUGACGAUCAGUCGGCGCUCAUCUACCUCCUCCUCAAGCAGCAGGAUCGCUGGGGGAGCAAGGUCUACAUAGAGAAUUCUUACUAUUUACAUGGGUUUUGGACUGGGCUGGUGGAUAAGUAUGAGGAGAUGAUGGAGAAGCACCACCCCGGGCUCGGGGAUGAGAGGUGGCCGUUUGUUACACACUUUGUCGGCUGUAAGCCCUGCGGUAGCUACGGGGACUAUCCGGUUGAGCGCUGUCUCAGUAGCAUGGAGAGAGCCUUCAAUUUUGCUGAUAAUCAGGUGUUGCAGAUGUAUGGGUUUGCUCAUCCGCGCUUGGCGAGCCCGAAGAUCAAGAGGAUUAGGAAUGAAACGGUAAACCCAAAGGCAGUGAAGGAUCAAGUGGGACUACAUGCCAAGAUCUCCAGCGUAUAAGUGAGGUCAGAUCCAUGCUCAUUCGUUGUGUGAUAGAUGAUUGCGUCAAUCGCUUGUGUAAUUUUAAGCCUCAGUUUUUCAAAUCUUAUAGCACCAAGUUUGUGAUUUUUGUUUCUUAUUUAGGUCAAUUACAUGUGGAAGGGAGAAUUGUAGA